rnacentral:rRNA from 1 species
GUGCAGCAGUCGCGAAACCUCCGCAAUGCGGGAAACCGCGACGGGGACCCGAGUGCCGUGGCAACGCCACGGCUUUUCCGGAGUGUAAAAGCUCCGGGAAUAAGGGCUGGGCAAGGCCGGUGGCAGCCGCCGCGGUAAUACCGGCGGCCCGAGUGGUGGCCGCUAUUAUUGGGCCUAAAGCGUCCGUAGCCGGGCCCGUAAGUCCCUGGCGAAAUCCCACGGCUCAACCGUGGGGCUUGCUGGGGAUACUGCGGGUCUUGGGACCGGGAGAGGCGGGGGUACCCCUGGGGUAGGGGUGAAAUCCUAUAAUCCCAGGGGACCGCCAGUGGCGAAGGCGCCCCGCUGGAACGGGUCCGACGGUGAGGGACGAAGGCCAGGGGAGCAAAACCGGAUUAGAUACCCCUGUAGU